UUCUCCAUGGCCAAAUGGUUAAGGCGUCCGACUGUUACUAGUAAAUACACGGUACAUCGGAAGAUUCCAAGUUCGACCCUUGGUGGGGAAG
rnacentral:tRNA from 1 species